rnacentral:rRNA from 1 species
GACGAACGCUGGCGGCGUGCUUAACACAUGCAAGUCGAACGGAAAGGCCCUGCUUUUGUGGGGCGCUCGAGUGGCGAACGGGUGAGUAACACGUGAGUAACCUGCCCUUGACUUUGGGAUAACUUCAGGAAACUGGGGCUAAUACCGGAUAGGAGCUCCUGCUGCAUGGUGGGGGAUGGAAAGUUUCGGCGGUUGGGGAUGGACUCGCGGCUUAUCAGCUUGUUGGUGGGGUAGUGGCUUACCAAGGCUUUGACGGGUAGCCGGCCUGAGAGGGUGACCGGCCACAUUGGGACUGGGAUACGGCCCAGACUCCUUCGGGAGGCAGCAGUGGGGGAUAUUGCACAAUGGGCGGAAGCCUGAUGCAGCAACGCCGCAUGCGGGAUGACGGCCUUCGGGUUGUAAACCGCUUUCGCCUGUGACGAAGCGUGAGUGACGGUAAUGGGUAAAGAAGCACCGGCUAACUACGU